rnacentral:rRNA from 1 species
UACGUAGGUGGCGAGCGUUGUCCGGAAUUACUGGGUGUAAAGGGCGCGUAGGCGGGGAUGCAAGUCAGAUGUGAAAUACCGAGGCUUAACUUCGGGGCUGCAACUGAAACUGCAUAUCUUGAGUGUCGGAGAGGGAAGUGGAAUUCCCAGUGUAGCGGUGAAAUGCGUAGAUAUUGGGAGGAACACCAGUGGCGAAGGCGACUUUCUGGACGACAACUGACGCUGAGGCGCGAAAGCGUGGGGAGCAAACAGG